UCUCCGUAGGUGAACCUGCGGAGGGAUCAUUACAGAGUUCAUGCCCUACCGGGUAGAUCUCCCACCCUAUGUUAUUAUUACUUUGUUGCUUUGGCGGGCCGUUAGACUCCGGCCCGACUACCGGCCCCGGCUGGUAAGCGCCCGCCAGAGGACCCAAAACCCUGAAUAUUAGUGUCGUCUGAGUACUAUAUAAUAGUUAAAACUUUCAACAACGGAUCUCUUGGUUCUG
rnacentral:misc_RNA from 1 species